UACGUAGGGGGCAAGCGUUAUCCGGAAUUACUGGGUGUAAAGGGAGCGUAGACGGUGAUGUAAGUCUGGAGUGAAAGGCGGGGGCCCAACCCCCGGACUGCUCUGGAAACUAUGUGACUGGAGUGCAGGAGAGGUGAGCGGAAUUCCUAGUGUAGCGGUGGAAUGCGUAGAUAUUAGGAGGAACACCAGUGGCGAAGGCGGCUCACUGGACUGUAACUGACGUUGAGGCUCGAAAGCGUGGGGAGCAAACAGG
rnacentral:rRNA from 1 species